CCUAACCCUAGCCACCUCUCCCUCACGCCUCUCUCCUCUCCCACACGCCCCACCCCCUUUUUCAUCUCUUCUCCCACUUGUUCAUCCAUUCCACUCAAGAUCCUAUCAAUUUUCCAAGAGAUUGUUGAAGAACCAAGGUUUUAAUUGCUUCCUACCGAUUAUUUCGUCCAAGAAAAGGUGAAAUUUUGUGCGAGACGCGUGAUACCAAAGGAAAAGCGAAACUUGAAAACUAAAGGAUCGAGGUUGAGCGGCGACGGGCGGUUGGCGGUGUUGAGCAGGAACUAAUAAUGAACUGUGGUUGUUUUGGUUUUGAAAUUCCGAGUGUCGUUGUGUCUUCACACAUGACGUCACUCUUCUCUUGGAUGCUUCCGCUGUGAUAUUUUUCUUAGAAUACUUUUCAUUUAAAUUCUGAAACUAUUUUAUGAUGGGAUGUUUGAAACUCGUUACACUUUUUGAAUAAAUGCUAAACCCUAGUCUUUAUUCAUUAAA